AUGAGUAGAAGAGGAUUGAGGCGUGAUGGGCGAGACUGCGACAAGGUGAGCUGUUUGUUGAGGUUUGGAAAAGCAUGCAGGCAGCUUAUAUGGGCAUACUUUGCAGCAAAGAGUUGCUGAGUGGCUGGGUGGCUGUAUAUGUUAAAUAAUUAGCAUUUUGGCUUUGUCAUUGGAGAGAGCAGUAGAAUUGCUACGGAGCAAACUAGAGCAGGACAUUGUUGGUUGUUGGAUGGAAGCUAUGGAGUUACCAGAAAAAUGAGGGAAAGACGUUGUUGAUAUUACCUUACUUUGAAACAAUUGCAUGUGUGAAAUUAGCACACUAAACUUAUGCAUUGGUAAAAGCAUAGGUACUAUUUAGUUUUAUAUAAUGGCCUAAAAUGUAAUAUCAUUCUUU